CCAACAAUGGCCUGGCCUACCGUCCACUCAGGACCUCCUUCCCUGAGUCACCGCUCACCUCACCACCCAUCACGCAGACAGACUUGAUGUUCGGACAAGAGAUGGGGCUUGCCUAUGGCUCUCUCAGCUGGAAGCUUAACCAACACCUGCAGCUCCAGGUUAUCCUGGACUUAAAAGUUCUCCCCUUCAGUCUCCUGGGGACUCUUUGGGCAACUUAGAAACCUCACCUGCCUCACAAAUGUUGGUACAUCCCCAGUGGACACUGAUCAGCACUGUCCUUGGAA
rnacentral:lncRNA from 1 species